CCUACGGGUGGCAGCAGUCGAGAAUCAUUCACAAUGGGGGAAACCCUGAUGGUGCGACGCCGCGUGGGGGAAUGAAGGUCUUCGGAUUGUAAACCCCUGUCAUGUGGGAGCAAAUUAAAAAGAUAGUACCACAAGAGGAAGAGACGGCUAACUCGGUGCCAGCAGCCGCGGUAAUACAGAGGUCUCAAGCGUUGUUCGGCAUCACUGGGCUUAAGGCGUGCGUAGGCUGUUUGGUAAGUCGGGGGUGAAAGGCGCGGGCUCAACCCGCGGACGGCACAUGAUACUGCGGGACUAGAGUAAUGGAGGGGGAAGCGGAAUGCACGGUGUAGCAGUGAAAUGCGUAGAGAUCGAGAGGAACACUCGUGGCGAAGGCGGGUUCCUGGACAUUAACUGACGCUGAGGCACGAAGGCCAGGGGAGCGAAAGGGAUUAGAUACCCGUGUAGUC
rnacentral:rRNA from 1 species